rnacentral:lncRNA from 1 species
UUAACGUUCAGGCAUUGAUCACUGCUCUAAGGCUUACACAGAUUUUUUCUUCUUUUUCCUUUUGUUUUAAAAAAAAUUAGUUCUAAUGUAAACUGCCGAUUUUAUUUUCCUUCAGAUGUGAAUCUUUUUGCCAAGAUUUCAUCUUAUUUUAUUCCCGAGGAUAAGGGAGUUUUUCGGGAAAAUUGGCAAGAUGGCGUAAGAAAAUGCGCGAGCGGAGUGCGCGGAGCCGGGGCCCAGCGGCGGCUCGGCUCGGGCCGACGCGGCUCUGCGCGGCAAGCCAUGCGCGCCGCUGUGUAACUAACCUACCACAACUGUCAGUCGGAUAUUGUAGGUCAGUGGCAUCCUUCGCUAGCAGAACGUGCUCAAUUUUGACCAUGCUCCAGGUCCUACCCCAAAAUUUUCAAGUGAUCCAGCCUCAUCCACCGCUCAGGGAGGCUCCCCGCUUUUAGGGGACCAUGUACCCUCGCCGCCCUUCCCUCAGCGCCCCCAAAAAUCCACCCCCAAGUCGCCCCGUUGCACUACCCGCCGGGCUGCUCUUUCCCACUUUCGCUCCCCAAGAUAAAAUUAGACACUCGUUCGGUCCUCCAAAAAGUGCUUAUUUUCACCGCCUCGUCCGUGAACGUUUCAACCCCAGUGCAGUGCUUUUCGAAAAUGCAAAAAAAUUGCAUCGUCGGUUGUGGUUAUCUCAUCGUUCCCGGACGUAUUUUUUGGAUCUUUAUCUGGCUGCGCAAGAGAACGGGACCUUUUUUCUCUUCGACUUCAGCUGUUGGAAGAAAGCCUGGACUUCUUGGAAACCUCCCAAACCACCCACCUUGAUCACAUUGGAUUAUUUUUUUUCCUUGAGACCUCAGUAUUUCGUAACAUAAUCAAGGUAAGUUUGCUCAAUAUUUUUUUUUUUUUUUGCUUAUGCAGUUAUUUUAUCAUGAUGACUCCACAAUGUUCAAUUUUGUUAUACUAGAAAUUGACCUGAC